CAGCCUCGCCUGAAGCCCUGGAGCGCAUUUUCCGGAAUUCCGGACCCCAGAACUUCCAGGCGGUUACACCCUGGGAACCUCCUAGGUGAACCCCCCCCAGUAGGCGCGACCCCAGUGUCCUCACCAAGUUCCGGCCCCUUCGCGGCCCCUUCUGUACCGAGGCUUCCACGGUUGCCUAGGCGCCUACUGUGUACCGUCAGGAGCUGGAGGCACAGAGCCCCAAGGCCUCGUGGGGCUGGAUUCUGCAGGGGGUAGUCUCACUUGUUGCUGAAUCACGAGACGGAAGUUUGUAACUAGGGAGAUUUAGCGGAGUCUUCGACGGCUGGAGUUGACCAGGAACGUGAUCCACCAAAAGACACUGCCACUGGUGGGAAGUCCGUGCUCAGCUACUCCAAUUGGUUGCAGUUGGCUAUUUGGCCAAGCUCCAGCUGUCAGCCACCCCUGGAGCCCCACCAUUGUAAAGCCACCCCUUCAGCAGACCACCUGACUUCAGUCAGUGUCCAGCCGGGCCCAGCCCACACUCCUUACUUACAGAGCAGUGGCAGGUGUUUCUCAUCAGCCACUGAGUCUAGUAGCAGGCUACUUCCAUUAUCUUCUUGGUACGCUUAGUUCAACAUGGCUAAGCUUGCUCCAGUGGCUGCCUGCAGCAGAGAGACACACCCAGGGACAUCCAGGUGUUAGUGGAAAGUCGUCUUCACCAUGUACACUGACGUCCAGAUUACUUGGGCAGCUCAUGGCACAGUUCACACCUUUGCAGACAGUCUGAAGACUUGCUACCAUUCUCACGAGGUCGGAAAGUCCUGUGAGGGGCUGGAGAGAAGGCUUGGCAGUCCAGAGCACUCCCUGGUCUUGCAGAGGUUCUGAGUCUGGUUUUCAGCAAGCACUAUGUGUGAGAUGUGGGACUGAUUCAGAUCAUCCACAACGGCAGACUCUUUGCCUUAUUCAGGCUCUGAGAGGAGCUCUCUGCCAGCUGCAAAUAGUUUGAAUCUGAGGACUCUGGAGAGAGAAUAAAUGCCAGAGCCCAGAGAGUGGAGUAGAGAGAAAGAACAAGGCUGCUCCUGGUUGCUGUUGUGAGACAAGAAGUUGGAGAUCUACUGAAACGAGGACUGGACUGCCUUCAAGGCACCUGACAACCCUAACCAGCAGGAAGCAGCUAAAGAGAACUGCGCCCCCUCUCCCACUCUUCCCUUUCUCUCUUUUACCUGGUGUUGGAAGGGAUUGGGGUGAAGGGAGAAAAAGAUAUA